AUACGGAGGAUCCAAGCGUUAUCCGGAUUUAUUGGGUUUAAAGGGUGCGCAGGCGGAAGAUUAAGUCGGCGGCGAAAUUUUGCAGCUCAACUGUAAAAGUGCCAUCGAUACUGGUUUUCUUGAGUGUGGAUGAAGUAGGCGGAAUUUGUGGUGUAGCGGUGAAAUGCAUAGAUAUCACGAGGAACUCCGAUUGCGCAGGCAGGUUUCUAAGCCAUAACUGACGCUCAGGCACGAAGGCGUGGGGAUCAAACAGGAUUAGAUACCCUGGUAGUCCACGCAGUAAACGAUGAUUACUCGCUGUUUGCGAUACACAGUAAGCGGCUUAGCGAAAGCGUUAAGUAAUCUACCUGGGGAGUACGUUCGCAAGAAUGAAACUCAAAUGAAUUGACGGGG
rnacentral:rRNA from 1 species